GCGCUGUUAUGCAAAAUUGGCAACCGCCGGCCUAGGAGUUUGUCGGACUUGAGUCCGACAAAUUCCUUUACGUUCGUAAAAACAACCCGUUAGAGUGCAGGACUUGGCUAUGAACCAGGGGUCGCGGGUUCGAAUCCCGCCGGGCGCG
rnacentral:tRNA from 1 species